UGCUUGCUUUGGUCCAAACUUAUGAAUAUAUGUUUGUGAUUUUUCGUAUUUCUUUGUGUUAGUUUUUAUUUUUGUUACUUGUGUUACUAUGACAUCAUGGAAUGAAAAUGGGUUUGAUGGUUGCAACCACUAUUUUGAUGACCCAUGUCCUUAUUGUGGAGGACCACACUCAUGGCAAAAUUGUUUGAAUUCUCCCGGGGGCGGAUUGUGCGCACAAUCUCAAACUUAUGAGUGGAGUAUUUGUGAUAGGUGUGGUGGUCAAAAUGGUUAUUGGGCUAAUUGUGUUUAUUUGUCCUUCCCUUCCCCGAACCCCACUAUGACGAUUCUACUUUUGAUUUUGAUGAUGUUAGGGUUAUGGAAGUGGAAGAAAUCUCAAAUGCUCAAAAUGAGAAGAUAAUGCUCAUGUUGGAGACCAUUCUUGAGAAGGAAGAAAAGUUGAACUUAGCACUCGAGGACUUGAGGCAACCACUUAAUGACUUGAGACAAGCAAUUGAUUGCAAUGACAAAGCUAUUCACACCUUGGUGGAUCAAAUGAAAUCAUUGGUUGAGGCUCAUAAUGCUCAUCAACUUGAGGGUGUUGAAAGUAGACAAGAAAGUGUCCAAAAUAUGAAUUUCUCCAUGAGUUGAUUUUUACAAGCUUUGAAUGACUCUCAACUUGAAGAAAGUCUUGACAAAGUCGAAAUUGUGAGCCAAGAUUGGCUUAUGAAUCAAGCUCAACAACUUGGAGUCUAUGGGAAUCACCGUGAAGGCAUUUCAUGGAUGAUGAAAGAAUUUCUAAAAAUUCACGUUGAGCGAAGUCAAGAAGUGGAGCUACUUGAAAUUACUAUCCGAAAAUUGGAGGCCGAAUUGAAUGCAAAAAUUGAGGCAUGUGAUGAUCAAUGUCAAAGAGCCAUGGCUAUUAGUUUUGAGUUGGUUUCCAAUGAAGAAGGGGUCAAGAUUGAUUUUCAAGAGCUAAUGGUGGAUUGCCAACCAACCUAUCCAAAAAUAGUGAAUGAUGCCGAAUUUGAAGAAAUGAUACUAGAGUUGCAUAAAAAAGUUCAUAAAAUAGUUUUUGAAGACUCUAGUUCAUUUUUUGGUGAGGAUGUCAAAAUUCAUGCAAGUUUAGAAUUUGAGCGCAUUGGACCGCAUUCUAACCAUUUUUCAACAUUAUGCUUGGUGGGUGAUAUGUAAAUUGAACCACACGAGCCUAUGGAGGGUUUUGGUGAUGACGAACAAUGUGUUUUUAUUUUAUAGUUUACUAUGCCAAGAAGACAAAAUGACAUGCCUCACUUAAAGGCCAAAAAGUGCAAGAUGCGACACCCGAGAGUUGGCCUCUUUGCUUUUCUACCACCGUGCCAUGAGCAUCAUCGUAAUCUUGAUUCAAAGUUGGGGCGAAAAUUCAAAUCUUUCAAGUGGAGGGAAAAGUGGUAAAAUUAACUCAUGUCGUGCCACGACUUUAAAUGCAGCGCUUUAUGGGAGGCAACCCAUGUUUUCUUAAAGUUUAAUUUGCAAUUGCACAGUUUGUGCAAAAGGUGCUGGAACUAUGCCUAAAUGUAAAAUAGAGCCAAGCCAGUGUGCUAAUACUUAAAGUCAGUUGUGUCACUUAUGUGCAUGGGAGAACUCAAGCGGCCCAGGUAAGCAGUCAAAGUUUUGAAACUAAACACAACCCCUCUCCCAGUUCAUUUGGAACUCCCUGUCCCAACUUCCCUGCACCACUGCGCAUACCAUCUCGACUUUCAGAGUGCCAGGUUGGGUCUUCCUCCGUCUCCCGUGGCUGAUUGUCAUCUUCAGCAUUAGCAUCGAGUUUCCAGGGUGAGCACGCGACGUUCGCUGCCUUGAAGAUUCUUCCUAUUAUUAUGUCUUACUUUUCUACUCUAAGACAUAGCGGAUUGAUAUAUUAUUAUACUAUUCCAGACUUGUAUUUAUUUCUUUGGAUGCUCUUGUAUGACUUAGACCAGACUCUAGGGGUAUUUUCCUUAUUUCGCACAUUUUCUAUUAUAUAUUAUUGUGAGGCUUACGUAAUUAUUCUUUUCCGCUGCUUGUUUUAUCA